UGGAUCAGGAAGUAGAUGUUAGGGUC
rnacentral:piRNA from 1 species